CGUCUUCUCCGGCGGCCGCCAGCGGGAUCCCUUCGCCGGCACCGUCUCCGCUGCCUCUAGACUGGAGACGACGCCUGUCUCCUCGCCACCCUCAGCCGAGUAAGAGCUUCCUCCUCGCGGAUCCAACUUCAUUUCGGCAUCGAUGUGAAUCGCUCGCUCAUUGCUGCAGUUUUUGCAUUCGUCCCGGUGAAUAUUGUGUCGCUUCAUGUGGCCGCUCCUAGAAUUCCAUCGAUCUGGGCUUCCUUGUAGCCGUAUGUACUGGGAUUGUAGUAUUUCGGACCAGCCGAAAAUUCUCACCCAUGUGGGAUUAGUAAUGCUUUCUGUACUCCGCUCGUGCCAAGAACCAGGCAAUAGGUUUUACAAUUUUGUAGCAGCUUGUUGUUCACCACGGUCACUAU
rnacentral:lncRNA from 1 species